CUUCUGGACUGACACUGACACUGAGGUGCGAAAGCGUGGGUAGCAAACAGGAUUAGAUACCCUGGUAGUCCACGCCGUAAACGAUGUCGACCAGCCGUUGGGUGCCUAGCGCACUUUGUGGCGAAGUUAACGCGAUAAGUCGACCGCCUGGGGAGUACGGCCGCAAGGUUAAAACUCAAAUGAAUUGACGGGGGCCCGCACAAGCGGUGGAGCAUGUGGUUUAAUUCGAUGCAACGCGAAGAACCUUACCUACUCUUGACAUCCUGCGAAUUUGGUAGAGAUACCUUAGUGCCUUCGGGAACGCAGAGACAGGUGCUGCAUGGCUGUCGUCAGCUCGUGUUGUGAAAUGUUGGGUUAAGUCCCGUAACGAGCGCAACCCUUGUCCUUAUUUGCCAGCGCGUAAUGGCGGGAACUCUAAGGAGACUGCCGGUGACAAACCGGAGGAAGGUGGGGACGACGUCAAGUCAUCAUGGCCCUUACGAGUAGGGCUACACACGUGCUACAAUGGUCGGUACAAAGGGUUGCCAACUCGCGAGAGUGAGCCAAUCCCGAAAAGCCGAUCUCAGUCCGGAUCGGAGUCUGCAACUCGACUCCGUGAAGUCGGAAUCGCUAGUAAUCGUGGAUCAGAAUGCCACGGUGAAUACGUUCCCGGGCCUUGUACACACCGCCCGUCACACCAUGGGAGUGGACUGCACCAGAAGUGGUUAGCCUAACGCAAGAGGGCGAUCACCACGGUGUGGUUCAUGACUGGGGUGAAG
rnacentral:rRNA from 1 species